rnacentral:lncRNA from 1 species
AGCAGUGGAAAUGGCAUUGGCGAUGCUCCUGACGGUUCCUCAGAGUCGGAGAACGGUUAUGAGUUAUUUGAGAAGAGAGUGCCUCAGAUUCCGUCAGGGUAUGGCUUGGAAGCAAUUGAUCUUUGUGAAAGCUUAUUUGGUUACUGGCCUUGUUUAGCUCGUUACAGAAAUGGACAAUGUCAGGAAGUUGCUAAUCGUAAUGAAGAAAGCAGCAGCUGCAGCCAGUGGAAAGAGACCGCUGAUUACCUUUUUGGAAGCUCAUAUCCUUAUGGUUAAAGAAGAGAUGGAACAACUUGUU